AUUGAACGCUGGCGGCAUGCUUUACACAUGCAAGUCGAACGGUAACAGGCCUUCGGGUGCUGACGAGUGGCGAACGGGUGAGUAAUGCAUCGGAACGUGCCCAAUCGUGGGGGAUAACGUAGCGAAAGUUACGCUAAUACCGCAUAAGCCCUGAGGGGAAAGUGGGGGACCGCAAGGCCUCACGCGAAUGGAGCGGCCGAUGUCAGAUUAGCUAGUUGGUGGGGUAAAGGCCCACCAAGGCGACGAUCUGUAGCGGGUCUGAGAGGAUGAUCCGCCACACUGGGACUGAGACACGGCCCAGACUCCUACGGGAGGCAGCAGUGGGGAAUUUUGGACAAUGGGCGCAAGCCUGAUCCAGCCAUGCCGCGUGCGGGACGAAGGCCUCGGUUGUAA
rnacentral:rRNA from 1 species